rnacentral:misc_RNA from 1 species
CCUGCCUUCGCUUUCUUCGAUUGCAAGCGUCCAAUUAGCCAUCUAGGACUCUUGGUUCCAAUUUUCUAAUUUUCUCUUCGGAGCUUCAAUUUUCAAUUUCGAAAUAGCUAGUGUACGUAUAUAAUAAAUAAAUAUCAGAAUUCAAUGAAUGAUUGAGAUCAGUCCGGUGUAUUGGCCCAUAAGGAGCGCCCCAUUGCCCAAGAAAAACAAAAAUAUCUCCAGGUGGGCGCAACCGAUAGGGCCAUUGGGCGGGCUUUUGCAAUCGCUGAAUGUAGAAGUCAGGAAAGAUUCCUUCCUUCUCUGCUUUAUUGGUCUUUCCAUUUUGUUACUUUUCAACUCUAUUUACCAUCUUCCAUUCUAAGGGCCCUCAGAGGCAACUCCUCUUCGUUUGGGAUUCUGCUGUUCAUUCUUCAAUCUUCACCGGAGAGCGAGCAAGGAAUUGAAGAGGGGCAAAUGGCAACUUCUCUUUGCUUCUUCACUCUUUUGCUAUUUCUUUCGACCAUCUCUUCCUUCUACCUCCAGGUUAUUGCUGAAGCACCAGAUUCUACACUGAAGCUUAAUUCUAGGAUCCUUCAGGAGUCGAUAAUUAAAAAAAUCAAUGAAAACCCCAAUGCUGGAUGGGAAGCUGCCAUGAAUCCUCAAUUUUCCAAUUACACUGUUGGUCAAUUCAAGUAUCUCCUUGGAGCCAAGCCAACUCCCAAAAAGGAGUUGAGGGGUUUUCCGGUUACAAGUCAUCCAAAAUCUUUGAAGUUGCCAAAAGAAUUUGAUGCAAGAAAAGCUUGGCCACAAUGUACCACCAUUGGAAGAAUUCUAGAUCAGGGUCAUUGUGGAUCUUGUUGGGCGUUUGGUGCUGUUGAAUCACUAUCUGAUCGCUUUUGUAUCCACUUUGGCAUGAACCUAUCGUUGUCUGUCAAUGAUCUCUUGGCAUGCUGUGGCUUUUUAUGUGGAGAUGGUUGUAAUGGAGGGUAUCCAAUCUAUGCAUGGAGAUACUUUGUCAACCAUGGCGUUGUCACCGAAGAGUGUGACCCAUACUUUGAUGAUAUUGGCUGCUCCCACCCUGGCUGUACGCCUGAAUUCCCUACUCCAAAGUGUGUAAGAAAAUGUGUUGAUAAGAACCAGCUCUGGAGCCAGUCAAAGCAUUACGGUGUCAAUGCAUAUAGAAUUAGCUCUGAUCCCCAAGAUAUUAUGGCUGAAGUUCUUACAAAUGGACCUGUAGAGGUUGCUUUCAUUGUUUAUGAGGAUUUUGCUCAUUAUAGAUCUGGAGUUUAUAAGCACAUUACUGGUAAUGUAAUGGGAGGCCAUGCAGUUAAGCUUAUUGGGUGGGGGACUUCUGAUGAUGGAGAGGAUUAUUGGCUUCUUGCAAACCAGUGGAAUAGAGGCUGGGGUGAUGAUGGUUACUUCAAGAUACUGAGAGGAACAAAUGAGUGUGGCAUUGAAGAAGACGUGAUUGCUGGUUUGCCUUCGGCCAGAAAUCUUGAUCUUGUUAGAGAGGUUACUGGCACGGAUGCUGUUGGGGAUGAGAUUGUUGUACCACAAGUGCUGUAAUUUAUGCACAAGACAUGAGUUGCAGAGAUGAAUUAUGGAUACGUAUCAGGCAUGGAUAGAAACCAGAUUUACAAAUCCAUGUUGUAAUAUUUGUUUGUGCCAACAAAACAUUUAUUGUCCAUUUAAGAAUGUCAGUCUGUAAGUAUUGUAUGGCUCGUUCUUCAAAUGUAUAAUAGGAUUCCCCCGCAUUUUCAUUUCACAUUCAUUUCCAAUCUUUUUCUGUUAUUAGGCAUUGGAUCUCUACUACAGGAGUGCUAAAGAUGUUAAAAUUUUUUCUAACAAGUGAGAGGAUGUGAGAAUCCUGGUCAUGAUAGGAAGUUUCCAUGGAAAUAGCUCUAAUUAUUUAUUUUGUCGAUAGCAGAAUCCUGCGUUCCUGUAGUGCCCAAUUAUGAUGUUGAAAGAUGGAGCCUUACCUUGUAAAAGUAGGUAAUGGAGAGUUUUGAUUGUUUGUGGCAAGCAAAUGGAUUACUGUUGAAACAGACAAAAG